rnacentral:rRNA from 1 species
UACAGAGGUGGCAAGCGUUGUUCGGAAUUACUGGGCGUAAAGGGCGCGUAGGCGGUCUUGUAAGUCUUGUGUGAAAUCCCUCGGCUUAACUGAGGAACUGCACGGGAUACUGCGAGACUUGAGUUCGGGAGAGGGAAGCGGGAAUUCCGGGUGUAGCGGUGGAAAUGCGCAGGAUAAUCAGGAGGAACACCAGCGGCGAAAGGGCGGGCGCCUCGUGGGCUGGCACUGACGCUGAGGGAGCGAAAGCGUGGGGAGCGAACAGG